CAUCCGAUGCAUCCAGUGGAAAGACAGGCUUGUGAGAAUCCCACAGUGUGUCCUCACCCACCUUAGCCACCAGACAUAGCACCAUGUAACUCUGGCUCUUCCCCACAGUCAAAGUGACCAGGAAAGGUCAACGUUUUCUGUUAAUUCAGGACAUCGAGGCAGCCAGGACAGCGCAACUACAGACCCUCAGGAAAGAGGACUCCAGAGCUGCUGCAUGAAGCAGCCAGGAUGACAGGAUGAGUGUGCUCAAAGUGAGGGGAGGAUUUUGAAGCAGAUGAAUGGGAAUGUGUUUUUUACUGUAACAAAUUUUUAAAAAUUAAAUAUUCACUAUAUUUCUUGAUCACACCUCGUAGAUACGAAAAAGUUUUUCCCUUGUGACUAGAUGAGUCAUUUAAAUAAGAUUCUUAGAAAAUUAUAGCAUAGAAAUAGUUCCUUUAUCACUGCCUGCCAAUUACUCAUUGCAUUUUAACUAGAAAGCAGAAGCACAAAACCUUAGCAACUUUACAAUUUGAACUCUCAGAUUUUUGGUGAAAAUGCCAUACAAAAGUUUGUUUUUCCAACUAAAAAAACAGAAGCGUAAUUUGUCUUUUAAAAAAAUUUAUGGCUAACAAUGUGUUUUACAGUAAGCUGCAUAACAGAGUAGUAGCAUUAGUGGUCCCCCGAACUUUGUUAAAUUACUGUGUUUAUGAUACCUGAAAUCACAUAGGGCUCCCUCUGGCUCAGAAAGAACACGACAUCUGAGUAAGCAAACUUCACAAACACUGCUUUCGUCACCUCACAGCACCAAUGAGCAGAUGCCCGGCUCACUUUGGGCUUCCAGUAUGCGGCUCCUCUAGGUUAAAGCUACACAGGCCCAGCAGGGCUCAUUCUUGGACUCCAGUAAUGUUUAGAACACCAAAGAUUCUGGCAGUGAUGAAGAGAGACCCAGUGUCCUCUGGGACACAGGAAGUGAAGCAGGAGCCUCAGCCGGAGCCACCGUACCCUGCUACAAAUGAACCCAUGAGAAUUACAGAUGCCAAAUAUCACAAGGAUACAGUAUACACAGU
rnacentral:lncRNA from 1 species